AUUACCGCCAGUCUGCAUGUUUGCUUUUCCAACGGGGUGCCCAGCUCACGAGCAGCAGCAACAACCCGCGUCCCCAAAGCAGAAAAAGCGCGCAGCCCACACCCCUCGUGCUGUGCCCUAUGUUGCUUCUUGCUGACGGCUGCACGGUGCAGGGCGGAACCCGGCGGCACCGCUCGCGUGGCUGCUGCCGCCCAUUGCCCGGGACUGCCCCGGGUUUCUUCCCCUGGCCUGCCGCAGGGCCGCGCUCCGGAGGGUGCCCGGCGGCUACCGCUCCUCCCGGGGCGCGGGGGCUGGGCAGAGCCAGGGGCGCUGCGAGGACGCUGCGGUGGCUGGCCGGACUCGGCAGCGGCUCCUCUCACUGCGCCCGCGGCCACCUCGCAAGCGACUGGUAGUGAAACUGUAAUAGGACAUGGCAACCAGCUUACAGCUUUAUAAGAAAAGUACGUUUCCUCCUCUUCUGAAUAUUUAUCAGCCGUCACAUGGCAGGAAUCAGAAUGACAAAACUCCCAAAAAGAUGAUGAAAGAUGACACCGGGAAGAAGAGGAACAACAAAUCAUCAUUUAGUGAUGAAGACAAGGAAGAUGCAAUGAAACAGGCCCUGCUAGAACAGCGCCAUCUUGAAAACUACAAAAAUCUAUACAGGCUGAGAAAUGCCAUGUAUGUGCGUUACAGGGAUUUGUUGAACAAGAAAGUUCAAAAGCAACGAAUUCAGAUCCAAAUGUCUGAUCUCAACUUCAAGCAAACUCUUGAACAGCAAGGAAGAAAAAAGUGUAUCCCUGGACAUCAAGUGCCCUACUGCAAAUUGUCUCACGAUGCUAAGUACCUCAAGUCUAUUCCACAGUCCAGUAAUUACCUGAUUAUAGGAUUGCAGAAUGAGUUAACUAGACAUGGAAUCUUAAAGAACCAGCAAGAUUAUGAAGACUUUUGGACACUGAUCCUAGAGGGCACUCACGGUUCACGGCUCAAAGAAAAACUUCAGGCUAUAAAAUCAAAAAUGGUUGCAGCUAAGUCUUUUCCUUCGCAUCCUGUUGUGAGAACCAGUGUAGCACAGUCAGCCAAUGUCCUUCUGAGCAACCGAUGUGGGCAGCUGAAAAUGAGCUCAGCUUCUCCACCAGGAUCAGUGUCCUGCCAACUUCCAGCUCAUCAUCCAAGUAAACACAUGAAGGCCCAAGAAGAAAGUGAGCAAAUAUUUCCUAAGCUGCUGCUUUCUUGGCUUUCUGAAUUGCAGAAAAGACCUGAAGAGCAAUCCAGAACUCAGGAGGUGCGCAAACCUUUCAAAAGGACUGGGAAGCAUUUCCACCAUGAACGACAUCUGAUUUACUUGCAUCAUAUGUAUCAUCUCGCCCUUCUUAAUAUGACGUCUUCCAAGAGGCUGCUGGAGAAAAAUGGCCAGUUUGCAGUUGCUGAAAAAGAGCACAGUGUCCGUGAUCUGAUGGAAUACUUGUUUCCAGGUCAUCAUAAACAACCUGGAAACAGCUCCACUGAAAGAGGAAUAGAGGGAAGCACAUUUCCCAUUUUGCUAGAUAGGAAACCGCAUGAGCAAUGUCACAGGGGCUUCUCCAAAACACACCUAGUUUUUAAAGAAAUGAAAAACAAUUCAAAGGAGAAACAACAUGAAAAUAAAGGAGCUGUUGAAAUUUUGGAGGAUCAGAAAUACAACAACAAUGCCUUUGCCCCACAAGAAAUGAUCACUGUGCCUCUCUCUUACCAUGGAAGAUGUGGUUCUGAAAAAGCCAGAUGUGGCAUGUAUUUUUAUUUACUCUUUUGUCCCCCAUCAGGUCAGUGCUGUAUAGCCUGGAGGAGCUGUCAUACACUUUUACCCCAUAGAUUAAAAGUUCCUUGUAAUACUCUGAGAACAGAGCUAUUAUAGCAUCAAAUUCUACCUUCCAAUGCACACAGAGGGCUCCCCUUGAGAUCAGUGGAAGCUGUAAACACAGAACAAAGGAAGCUAAGUCAACAGUUACCUACUGGACUAAUUAUGUGGACAAAGAAUCCAUUUUCUAAAGUAGAAAAGGAUGACUAAAAUACAGAAACUCACAACAGCAAUGGAAUUGCAGGUUUAUGUAGAUCUUUACGCUGUAACCCACACACAUUGUGAUGUACCUAGAUUAUGAAAUCACUGUACUAAAUGUAAUUGAACUUCCUACAGGCCAAAAUCUUGAUCUCAUUGAAGACAAAGUGAAUGUUGUCAUUCACUUUAAUUACAGCAGGAUUUGGCUCUAAAGCAGUGCUACUAUGGAGUGGUUCAAAACAGAUGAUAAAUGUGUCUUGUGAAAAUAGAUAAUUUACUGUACAAUUUGGCUGGGUUCCUAAUCUUUAACUGAUCUACAGUAUUAAUUGUUGGAACAUACCCCAGUGAACCAGUUGAUGCUUUUGUUGUUGCAGUUUAUCCUGAUGUGAUAAAAUCAACAAUAAUUUCUCAUUGAGUUCUUGCAAGCUGAGUGAUGAACUCAAAGGAGGAAGAUUUUUUAAAAAGUAGAGAAGUCUAGUUUAAGAAACAAUGACUUAGAUGCAAGACAAGCUUUCACUUAAUCAAAGAAGGCAGACAGGCUACUUAUGGGCAUUUGGUCAGAAAUACACUUAACUCAUAAUUCUUUAAUCUAAAAUCUACAUGUAAAUCUAUAGUGUAAGCUUCUAAACAUUCACUAUAAAAUUAAAUGUGCUCAGUUUCA